rnacentral:lncRNA from 1 species
AAGAUGAUCAAAAGUGAUCUUUAACUAUCAAAUUUUCUUUAAAUAAUGAUGUCGAAUAGGGAACUUUCUAAAUUUACUAAGUUUAGAAAUAUAAAUAGUUUUAAUCAUUCCUUAUAAGCUGAAUCUUUGCUAUUUGAAGAAGUAUGAAAUAGGUCAACCUCUCCUAUUGAGUCACGUGAAGAUGAAGAAUCAAAAAGAACUCAUUUAUUCGUCUUAUUUAUUAUUAUUUAUAUAAAUUUAUUAUUAUUUAUAUAAAUAAAUUAUUUAUAUAUUAAAUACUAAUUAAUAUGUUAGAUAAAUUAAUAUUAGCGAUGGGGUUUUACUAAAGAAAAAUAUUUAUCCUCCUAUCUCUAUAGUAACCUAUAUCUAUAGUAUAUAGAUAUAGAACAAAGUAUAGAUUAUGAUGUUUGUACAUCAGCCCAACCAAUGACUAUUCAUGAUAUCAUAAUUGAAUCAAUUUCAUAACGGUCUUAGAGGAAUGUUAUGGUACAACUUCGUUUGAAACGAUGUGGUGGAAAGCAACGUGCGACACAGGUUCCGUUGUGGAUUUGUACAUCCAUCAUUUUAUGUAGGAAUGAAGGUGCUCUUGGCUCGACAUCACUGGUUCUGUUUCAUUAGAACCCCUCUUUUUUAUUGUCUUGGAAUGUAAAUAGUCCAUGAUGGAGCUCGAGUAGAAAGUAUUAAUUUAUUUCUCGGGGCAAGAGUCUAGGGUUAAUGCCAAUCAAUAAAAAAAUUGGAACAACUUCGUAAAUAUAUUUUCGGCAUGGAAAUCGAAAGAAUCC